GGGCAACCGGCGCUCCCUAGACCCCCAACGUCAGUGUGGCCUGCUUCCCCGCAGUGUCCAGGAGAGAAGGGGCAGGGGGCUCCUGCCGAGGCUCCCAUCAUCCUCAGCUCGCCCCGCACCUCCAAGACAGACUCAUAUGAACUGGUGUGGCGGCCUCGGCAUGAGGGCAGUGGCCGGACGCCAAUCCUCUACUAUGUGGUGAAACACCGCAAGGUCACAAACUCCUCUGACGAUUGGACCAUCUCUGGCAUUCCAGCCAACCAGCACCGCCUGACCCUCACCAGACUUGACCCCGGGAGCUUGUAUGAAGUGGAGAUGGCAGCUUACAACUGUGCGGGAGAGGGCCAGACAGCCAUGGUCACCUUCCGAACUGGACGGCGGCCCAAACCCGAGAUCAUGGUCAGCAAGGAGCAGCAGAUCCAGAGAGACGACCCUGGAGCCAGUCCCCAGAGCAGCAGCCAGCCAGACCACGGCCGCCUCUCCCGUAAGCCGCUAGCAGCAGGGACGGACGCGCAGUCGGGACUGGAACUGCCUCAGAGGCCUGUUCCCGUGGCUGAAUGGGGUCUUGCUUCUCCCCAGAAGCUCCCGACAGGCCCACCAUCUCCACGGCCUCCGAGACCUCAGUGUACGUGACCUGGAUUCCCCGUGGGAAUGGUGGGUUCC
rnacentral:sRNA from 1 species